rnacentral:tRNA from 1 species
GGGCCAUGGCUUAGUGGUGGAGCAUCUGCUUAGCAUACAGAAAGUCCCGGGUUCAAUCCCUGGCAUCUCCA